rnacentral:rRNA from 1 species
UACGAAGGGGGCUAGCGUUGUUCGGAAUCACUGGGCGUAAAGGGCGCGUAGGCGGCUUUGUAAGUCGGGGGUGAAAGCCUGUGGCUCAACCACAGAAUUGCCUUCGAUACUGCAUGGCUUGAGACCGGAAGAGGUUAGUGGAACUGCGAGUGUAGAGGUGAAAUUCGUAGAUAUUGGGAGGAACAUCGGUGGCGAAGGCGGCUACCUGGACGGGUACUGACGCUGAUGCGCGAAAGCUAGGGGAGCAAACAGG